GUGCUAUGAAGAUAAUUGUUCAAAUGUGAAAACUUGGGUCUUCACUAUGUUUGAUAAUCAGUUGACAAAUUAGUACAUCUGAGCGU
rnacentral:snoRNA from 1 species